CUACGGGAGGCAGCAGUAAGGAAUAUUGGUCAAUGGAGGCAACUCUGAACCAGCCAUGCCGCGUGAAGGAUGAAUGCGCUAUGCGUUGUAAACUUCUUUUGGGUGGGAAGAAAACUAUCAAUUUAUUGAUAGCUGACGGUACCAUCAGAAUAAGCACCGGCUAACUCCGUGCCAGCAGCCGCGGUAAUACGGAGGGUGCGAGCGUUAUCCGGAAUCACUGAGUUUAAAGGGUGCGUAGGUGGCUUUAUAAGUCAGCUGUGAAAUGUCUGGGCUUAACCGAGGCAUUGCGGUUGAUACUGUAAGGCUUGAAUCAAGUUGAGGUAGCUAGAAUGUGACAUGUAGCGGUGAAAUGCUUAGAUAUGUCAUAGAAUACCAAUUGCGAAGGCAGGUUGCUAGACUUUGAUUGACACUGAGGCACGAAAGCGUGGGGAUCAAACAGGAUUAGAUACCCGUGUAGUCC
rnacentral:rRNA from 1 species